CUUAAUUCUUAUGUAAUGGAUGCAUUGAAUGGAUAUUUUGAUGGAUGCAUUGGAUGGAUAUUGUCUUAAUAGAUCCAAUUGCCACCCCUAAUUUCAAUCCACCUUUCCUUCCAAUAUCCAUAAGAGAAGGUGUUGGUUGGUCGACCAAGGGCGGCGGCGCCAUCUUCCAAAAAACUAACCAUCCUUCUGUAUCGGAACAUAACCCAACCCAAAACCCUAACUACUAAACCCCAAAAAUCAACUAGAAUUGGCCUCCAAAACUCGGUUCAAGCAGCGAUUCAAGCAUAAAAACAACCAACAAAACCGUAAAGCCAUGAAAAUCAAGCCAAACUGAAGAAUCACAACAAACCCUACGCUACUAGCAAUUUAGUCAGGUACGAAGCACAAAAUGCAAACAUGAUAAAGGCGGAUCCGUUACAAGUGAAACAAGGAAAGAAAAUAACUACCAUCCGGAAGUUAUCGGGGGAAGCUUCUCUCAGGUAAUGUGUGAUAUGUAUAAGGUUAAGCAAUAAUGAAGAUGAUGCAACACGGCUGGUGAAGAGAUGCAGUAGUGAUGGUUAUGAAGUGUGCAUGAGGAAUGAAAGCAUGCACACACAAUGAUGUUGAUGCUGGAUGAACGUACAUGAUGGAACAUGGGUGGGUGGAAGAAUUCACACACUACACCUGAGAGGAGUACGAAGAGGAAUUUGCACAAAGUUGAUUUCAUUUCUUUUUCUCUUUUUUUUCUCAAUUUUUUUAGUAAAAGUUUGCACUUGUUUCUAAACAUAAUUUAGAGUGCACUCUAACUGUAUUUUUAUUUGACAUUAAUAAAACAAAAGUUUAUCUUAAAA